rnacentral:rRNA from 1 species
CCUACGGGGGGCAGCAGUGGGGAAUCUUGCACAAUGGGGGAAACCCUGAUGCAGCGACGCCGCGUGAGUGAUGAAGCCCUUCGGGGUGUAAAGCUCUUUCGACCCUGAAGCGGUAGGGGGAGAAGAAGCUGCGGCUAACUACGUGCCAGCAGCCGCGGUAAUACGUAGGCAGCGAGCGUUGUUCGGAGUUACUGGGCGUAAAGGGUGCGCAGGCGGUGGAGCAAGUCUGAUGUGAAAUCUCCCGGCUUAACCGGGAGGGUGCGUUAGAAACUGUUCUGCUGGAGUGAGGGAGAGGCAAGCGGAAUUCCUGGUGUAGCGGUGAAAUGCGUAGAUAUCAGGAGGAACACCCGUGGUGCAGACGGCUUGCUGGCCCCACUGACGCUGAGGCACGAAAGCGUGGGGAGCAAACAGGAUUAGAUACCCUUGUAGUC